rnacentral:tRNA from 1 species
GGGGCCAUAGCUCAGCUGGGAGAGCGCCUGCCUUUUGCGCGGGAGGCUCAGCGGUUCGAUCCCGCUUCUGGCUCCACCA